rnacentral:rRNA from 1 species
GAUGGACCCGCGGCGUAUUAGCUAGUUGGUGAGGUAAUGGCUCACCAAGGCGAUGAUACGUAGCCGACCUGAGAGGGUGAUCGGCCACACUGGGACUGAGACACGGCCCAGACUCCUACGGGAGGCAGCAGUGGGGAAUUGUUCGCAAUGGGCGCAAGCCUGACGACGCAACGCCGCGUGGAGGAUGAAGGUCUUCGGAUUGUAAA